rnacentral:rRNA from 1 species
CCUACGGGAGGCUGCAGUGGGGAAUAUUGCACAAUGGGGGAAACCCUGAUGCAGCAACGCCGCGUGAGUGAAGAAGUAUUUCGGUAUGUAAAGCUCUAGCAGCAGGGAAGAGAAUGACGGUACCUGACGAAGAAGCCCCGGCUAACGACGUGCCAGCAGCCGCGGUAAUACGGAGGGGGCGAGCGUUAUCCGGAUUUACUGGGUGUAAAGGGAGCGGAGACGGUUCUGCAAGUCUGAAGUGAAAGCCCGGGGCUUAACCGCGGAACGGCUUUGGAAACGGUGGAACUGGCGUGCUGGAGAGGCAAGCGGACUUCCUAGUGUAGCCGUGCCAUGCGUAGCUAUUAGG